UUUUCUUCAAUUUGAUCAUUUUACAUUAGAUUGUGUUAUGUGAUUUGUUUCGAUUGGCUUGGUAUAGAGUUCCUCCUGGCGUCGGGAAAUAAACUCAAUAUUCAGUUGAUGCUUGAUUUGUCAAAUACUUCAAAAUUUGUGACAAUUAUAGCCUUUCAAAAUCAAUUAUAGCCUUUUGAAUAUCAUUGUUAAAAUUGUGUGGAUAGUUAUUGAGGAGUCUGAUUCCACCUCACUUUAAAAGAACAUCACUUCGUGAAAUCUGCAAUUAAACAAAGGGCUAGUUCUUCAUGAAAAUUUCAUAAAACAUAAAUUGGGGCUUACACAUAUCUAAUACCUAAUGGUAAAGGUAAAAGACUGUAAUUGAAACAAGAAAUCAUGAAGGCAUUCAUAAAAACUUAGUUUCAUUUGUUAUUAAAAGUUGGAAUUUGGUCUUAUGUACUCGUGAACUUUUUAUUUCCUGAAGAACUCCUCAAACUACGAUGUUAUUUCUAAAUCACUAGAAAACUGCAGAACGAGAAGGCUAAGGAGGUGAAAGAUACAAGCAACUUGAGUUUCAGGAAAAAAGUUGCAAGAGGCGAUCAGGCCUUGAGCGAUUCCUCCUGAAAGGUCACUGAUGCUUGCCAACCUAUUGAAGAUACUGGGAAACAAAUGCAAGAUGCUGGACUUGAUCAGGUGAAAGGAGACCUCUCUCCUAUCUGUCCUUGUUAAUUUUUAUUGUGGAGGCUGAAUUUAAAUGCCUAUUUGACAAGGCAACUCAAAUAUAUGAUGUGUGUCUGUCUUUUAUAAUUAUACGUUUGAAUAAUAUUUUCACCUUUUUUUUUAAUCAGAAAGAGUGUUUCUGAGUUUUAUAUUUAGCUUCAUUAACAUAUUGGAACUUGUGCUAGAAAAUGUUUUUUUCUCCCCU